AUUGAACGCUGGUGGCAUGCCUUACACAUGCAAGUCGAACGGCAGCACGGGUGCUUGCACCUGGUGGCGAGUGGCGAACGGGUGAGUAAUACAUCGGCACAUGUCCUGUAGUGGGGGAUAGCCCGGCGAAAGCCGGAUUAAUACCGCAUACGAUCUACGGCUGAAAGCGGGGGACCUUCGGGCCUCGCGCUUUAGGGUUGGCCGAUGGCUGAUUAGCUAGUUGGUGGGGUAAAGGCCUACAAAGGCGACGAUCAGUAGCGGGUUUGAGAGGACGACCAGCCCACUGGGAAUGAGAAAACGGCCAGAACUCUAAGGGAAGGAAGCGGGGGGGAUUUUGGGCCAAUGGGGGAAAGCCUGAUCCAGCAAUGCGGGGUGGUUGAAGAAGGCCUUCGGUUUGUAAAGCACUUUUUUCCGGAAAGAAAGCCUUGGCCCUAAUACGGUCGGGGGAGGACGUUACCGGAAGAAUAGGCACCGGCUACCUACGU
rnacentral:rRNA from 1 species